AUUGAACGCUGGCGGCAGGCUUAACACAUGCAAGUCGAACGAGUGGCGGACGGGCGAGUACUGCUUGGGAAUCUAGCUUAUGGAGGGGGAUAACUACGGGAAACUGUAGCUAAUACCGCGGAACAUAGGAUGCGCCCAAGGGGGAUUAGGUAGUUGGUGAGGUAAAGGCUCACCAAGCCGACGAUCUCUAGCUGGUCUGAGAGGAUGACCAUCCACACUGGGACUGAGACACGGCCCAGACUCCUACGGGAGGCAGCAGUGGGGAAUAUUGCGCAAUGGGGGCAACCCUGACGCAGCCAUGCCGCGUGAAUGAAGAAGGCCUUCGGGUUGUAAAGUUCUUUCGGUAGCGAGGCGUUACCCGCAGAAGAAGCACCGGCUAACUCCGUGCCAGCAGCCGCGGUAAUAC
rnacentral:rRNA from 1 species